CUGCCUUUCUUCCCCAGCGUCACCAUCUGUGGCAGCCUGGGAUACGCAUGAGCUCCUCAGGAGGGCGGGUCCGUGGAACACACAUCUGGAUGACAGGAGGGAGCCAGGAGCUGUGAGAAGACGGGGGAGCUGCCGCCGCAAGAAUGCAAGACCCACGGGCUCUACGAUGCGGGGGAGCAGCGGGCAUCUGAGGAAGGGGCGUCAGGGGCACAUGGCCAGCCCUCUUCACCCCACAGUCUGCCCCAGGCCAGCCCCACUAGGAGUGACCCAUUUUCUCCUAGCAGGAUUCCUUGCAUGGGGUGGCCUGGACCCAAAACACCCGCUCUGAGGAUUCCCUGUUAACCACAGAGAAGGUUGACUCAAGUUUCUUUAUUUGGCCAUGAAACUGUGGGGCAUCUCACGGUGCUUCUUGGGUCCACUGGAGAGCCCUGGAAGCUC
rnacentral:lncRNA from 1 species